rnacentral:rRNA from 1 species
CAGUAGCCACGGGAAUACGAAGGGGGCUAGCGUUGUUCGGAAUCACUGGGCGUAAAGGGUGCGUAGGCGGGCAUUUAAGUCAGGGGUGAAAUCCCGAGGCUCAACCUCGGAACUGCCCUUGAUACUGGGUGUCUUGAGUCCGGAAGAGGUGAGUGGAACUGCGAGUGUAGAGGUGAAAUUCGUAGAUAUUCGCAAGAACACCGGUGGCGAAGGCGGCUCACUGGUCCGGAACUGACGCUGAGGCACGACAGCGUGGGGAGCAAACAGGAUUAGAUACCCCAGUAGUCCCUGUCUCUUAUAA